YGUGAACUGCGGAAGGAUCAUU
rnacentral:rRNA from 1 species